AAGGGAACCGCUCCGGGUGACAGGCAGAGCCGCAGGCGCCAUUCGGAAAUAACUUCUUUUAUUAUUGUUAUUUUUCCCCCGGUUCGCCUUUUGCAAACCCUGGCAGGGCGGCGGCAGGUGUCAGGGCGGAGGUGCGCUGCCGCCGCCCCCGCCCGCCGCCGCGGAGCCGCCUGCCCGGCUCGGCGCCUCGCAGCCGCCCCGCUCCGCCGCUCGGGCACGCGCGGCGAGCACGGAGUGCGCCGAAUCUCUACUUUGAAGCCUUUUUCGCCUUAGAUUUUGUGGCUCUAGGAGGCCUGAUAGAGGAGUGCCUCUGCUGAGAUCGGAGCCUUUGCUAUUUUUUUCUUUGAUUUUUUUUUUUUUUUUCCUCUCCAUUGCCUUCCUUUCCGCCCUCCCUCCUCUUGGUAGCACAUCGAGUCAGUGAAUCUGUUGCUGCGUAUGACAUCUCUUGCAAGCUCCCAGAGAGAAUUGAUGGCGCAUACAGCUAGGGAAUAGGAUACCAGAGAAGCACAGAGGAAGAAUCCAGGCAAUCACCAGGAUGGGAAGGUUCAGCGUCCACUGGAUAUGGGACAAGAUCGCUUGGCAACCCUUGUGGAUUCUCCUUCUUCUGGAGGCGAAUUAUAGUUAUGGAUUUAUUGUCCCGGUGCAGCACUUCCACCAGCAGCAGCAACAGCAGCAGCUUUCUGACUCUCUUCGGUGACGGGUAUUCUUGGGUGGAUAAUACGGAUUACGUUGUUAUUGCUUAAGAAUACGCGUAGUCGAGGAGAGUACCGGCGGCGGGCAGGCAGGCAGGCAGCGCGACCGCCCCCAGCCCACCAGCUGGCUCCUCACCUCCUCUAGUUGCCAAGGUGUCUGAAUUUGAGGGUUGGUUUGCAUGUUCCAGAUGUUUGCCAGAUUUGAACACAGGAAUGUGAGGCCAGUGGGCUGAGCCUCAUGAAGCAGAGAAGAGAAGCAUUUAGCCUGGAAUUUACAUCUUCCAUAAUUUCCAAGGGUGAGGCAGAAAACUGGUUUCUCCCUGGGAGAAGUCAACCAAAGAGGAACUGUGCCUUCAAGGAGGUGGGACUGUGUGAAUGCCAAUGGUCUUUGUCAUUAACCAGCUCUAUUCAAGCUGGAUGAGGAGCUGACAGGAUCUGUCGAUUAAAUCUCAUGCCUUCAAAAGACAGGAACAAAAUCACCACUGUAAUGUUUGGCAAAGCAAGAUGUUUUUGUUUUCUGGCAAGGGUUUAACUCACGUGCAGCCCUGCUACCCUCUUAGGAUGUCAAAGAAAGAGGCUUUGCAAGUCAAAUGCUGCCUGCCUUACCAGCCUGUCUUACCCCAGUGAUGAAGUGCUCCAGCAUCAGAAGUCACCUUCUGUGUUCAGCUGAGCUCAACUGGAACCGUGCUCUCUGGCUGUGCUGUAAGUGGCUCUGAAGAUGUUACAGGUGCAGAGCUGUGCUGCUGUGUUUCAAGUGAUCAUAAAAACUCACUGGAUAAAUUGAAAAAGUGUGACUUUUCAUUGUAGCAAGCUUGGACUGGAUAAGCAACUCCAUCAUUGUGCUAAGGCAGCAGAUGCAGUCAGUGUUUGGAGGAAAUGGUUCAUGACCUGAUGAUACUUCCCAAGAGGUUCAAUGAGGAAAAAAAGGAUGCUGGAGGCUUCUCAUGUCAGAAUAACACUGGUGGGACAGGCAAGGGAAGCAGAAGGAUCAGACAGUGGGAGAGAAUGAACAGAAAGAUGCAAUGCAAGCAGAAAACCCCUUUGCUGUGCUUCAGGCUUACUCUUGCACUCAAAGAUGUGGGACAAAAAGCAAGAGCUUCAGGAAAAGCUCUUCCCUGAGGACCAGCAGAGCAUGCCAGGAGGGUGCUGCAGCCAUUGUCUCUGCAGCCAAAGUGAAGAGCAAAGCCACAAUCUGAUGGUGUUGGGCUGCAGCAGAUUCAAGAUCUGGAUCACCCUGAGAGUUGGGUCCGAUGGCUCUCCAGAACCAAGGAAGGCCCUCAGGCACUCUCUCCAGAUGGGGAUUCACAACCAGCUGGGAUAGGGUGCUACUGAAUGCUGGGAUGGACUCGCCCCAAAAGCAUCACAUCACAGCUGCUCCUUAGCCAGGCAAGUGUGGAUGGGCUGUCAGGAGAGCAUUCCAGUCAGCGAGCAGCUUGCCCUGGGAAUGGAUGGUGCUGGUCCCAAGUGAGAGCUGUGACCUGUGCAGGGCCCAGGGCAGAGGAGGCUGCCCAGGGACUUGACCCUGAGGAAGGGCAGCUCUGAGUCUCGGCAAAAGCCAAGCUGGUCUUGCAUAAAUUCUCUGCUGUUUCAGGCUGGCCAAAUUAAACAUGUCCCUUACCUUGUCUUUGUCACAACUUUGAUAGAAGUCCCAGGUGUGGCUCGGAGCUGCCCCUGUUCAGGGCACUUGGUGGGGCAGGAAAGGGCAGACAUGGAGCCUGCCACUGUCAGGGCUUGGCCAUCAGACUCCCACUGAGGUGACUCACCGAGGAGCCCUUGGGUAGCAGGUGGACACAGCCUCUGUUCCCUGCUGACCCAAUCCAUGCAGAGGGCAGCUGUGCUGGAGCCAUGGCUGCUCCCUGGAAGGAGGAGAGAGAGAUCAGAGAGGGGAAUAGUGUGGGCUGGGAGAAGGGAGAAGGUGAUAAACCAGCUCCUCAAGGCAGGGACUGAGGUUGAUAUGCUGUGGUGAGCUGCUCUACCUGACAGGACUUGCCCUGCCAAGGGUAGGUCAUCUUUCCUUUGACUCAGGAGGGUGUUGGGGGGUGUUUGCUAGGCCCAGAAACCAGUCAGUGCUGCACUGAGUCUUUACAUGGUCAGUUGUGGUACGUUCUGCUGCCCUGUGAUCUGCAUUUUCUAUUUUAUUAUUUAGGUGAGUUCUGGCUCUUGCUGUCUAGGGGGAAUUUCACCUAAGUAAGCACUGGGAAAAUUUAUCUUUAUUCAAAUCAUAAGCACAAACACCUGUGACAUCAUUUUUCACUGUAGUAUUUUGUAUAGGUUCUUUUUAAAGAAGUUAAUAAAGCUGGCAGCACAACUCCAUUGACUCUCAGCAGAGCACCUCUCUCAUUCCUGAGGUCCCUUUCAUAACCAGUUAUAUUAGCACCAUUUGUUAGUAUCCUGCUUUUCUCUUCAGUAUUGCCACGCAAUGUGCUUUCUUUUGUAGUACCUAAAGCUUGUGAGAUAACUCAGUUUGCCUCCCAGUGGGGGAGAAGGUAGCUGUAAUCUGUGUUUCACGUCUUGGGUAUCUUGAAAGGACUAGAAAUCCCAAAUGCAGUAACUUGUGGGUUUUCUGUCUUAGAGAAUUAGGAUGUCUUUGCAUUACUGAGCAGGCAAACAGUGAGCAGUACUUGAUCAAUAAGAGGCAUUGCCAGAGGUCUGCUAUAGUCUACCACAGCUGACGGUAAGUGUUGCUAUAGGCUAUGGAACUAGGAAUAUAAAAUGUCAAAUGACAGUAAUAAUUCAUGCAUCCUGGGACAUAUAAAACCAACAGCAUGUCAAUAGCUGUGGCAUGCUCUGCAGAAAAUAUGCAGGAUUUAGACAUUGCAGGAGUCUGUUUUAUUUUAAACUACACUUUCCUUGAUGAAAUAUAGACUUUCCCUGUUUGUUAAAAGCAUUUAUUUUCAGUUUCAUGUUGCUACUACUCUAUUAACAUUCUAAGAGCCACACAGCUCAAAGGGGGCCCUGAGAUUCAAAAAGCAAAAUAUAUGUAUUUACUGAAGAAAAACACAUAAAAUAUUUAUAAAACAGAGGGUGCAAUACUAUUUGAGAUUCAUGGACCAUUUCAGCAUUCAUAAAAGCAAAUAUGGUUCUCUUGUUGGUUUCACCUGGAAUCAGACUUUACUAGAGAGGUUACCCAGGAGGGACCUGUCUUAAAAUGAAACUUAUUACAAUCAUUAAUUUUACAUGGAAAAUCAUUACAUUUUACAUGGAAAGCAGAAUGUCUUGUGAAAUAAGUGAGAACUUCUCCAAUAUUCAUCUUCUUUAAAAAUACUUCAGGAUAAUUAGUAUCACUUUUCUUUUACAAAAAGAUAUGAGAGAGUGAAUUACUGCAUCUGGGAGGGCAUAGCAGGCGUAAGAGGAAAGAUUGUGUGUAUCUGAUACUUGUUUUCCCCUGUGCCGUUGCUGCUUGGGAACCUAAAAGUGAUGGGUGCUGUUUUACUGGCUAAGGCUCCCAUAAAAAUUCUUCAGAUGAAACUUUAAUGAGAGAAGGGUAAAAAUAUAUUUGAGCAGCCCUAUUCUUAUGCUUUCAGGUGUUUGCUCCUGAGAACCUCAGCUGUGGGUUGUCAGGCCUCAAUUUCUGUACAUUUGCUUGAAAGUAGAAGGGCAAGACAGAAAAGUUGCAUGUCCCUCAUGAUUAUAUGAAUAUAAGGCUUAAUAUACAGGUAAUACUUCUAAAAGAAUGUAAAAUAUUAACUGAAAAAAGAGAGAAGGAAAAGCAUCACAGAAAGAAAUCCACUACACAUUAUUUAAAUCUCCCCCUGCAAGAGGCUGAGGAUUCAAACACAUACGAGUCGUCUGCUCUUCCAUGUGAUAGCAGCCCUUCUGCUUCAGAGUUGCACAGUCCUAGCUCUCAGUUGUCUACUUGAGAAUUUUUUUAAAGUUACAUAUUCCAAAAAAUGUCUUAAAUAUAAUUUCCAUUAUUUGAAGACCAUAAAGUGAUCUUGGUGCAGUAGACUGUACCUAUAUAGACAGGCACUAAUAAAUAUUUUGGCACAUCUUGCUGAAGCUAGCUUGAGAUGGAGAUGAUUAAAAUAAAUAAAAAGCAAAAUUAAUCCUGCUAACUGUCUGAGACCUAAGAAAAGGGAUGUCUUUGUUCUGACGAGAGCAUCUUGGCUCAUUCUGCUCCUUUGGCUUGGUUUGGGGAGGAUGUAUUUAACAGUCCUCCCAUGGUACUUGGCAAAUAUAAAGCUGUCACAUUGGAUCCUGCUUCUCUUUGUAUUAAAAGAAUGUCUAUGGUGUUUAUGUUAUGGGAAAAAAGCACUAUUUCUACUUAUUGUAUUUUCAUUGUCUCUUUUCUUAUGACUGUACUGUUUGCCAGCAGCCAAGGGGCCACUUUGAUGCUUGCUUUGAUGCCAUGGUUUAUUGUGUUGCACAGUAGAGCCUAUGGUUUUCCUUUCAAAUCAGAGCUGGCAUACUGGGUGAAAAAAAAAAAAAAAACAACAAACCAAAAAUAAAGCUUUUCUAUAAUUAUGGUUAUCUCAUAAAGUCUGCAUUUGUUACAGCUGCUGGGGUGUUGGAAAUCAGUGUUUGUAAAUACCUAUAUAUUCUGAUUUGUUUUCAGCCUCAGAGAUGUUUUUGUCUGUCUGUGUUCCUCACCCCCGGCCAUUCAUGCAAGCAGCCUUCCCUACCUGCACGCCGAGCUGCACUGCCUCGGGAAGAUACCAGCCUGUUACCCAGCUUAUCUGCAUGGUACAACUUCACCUUGUUCCCUCUUCUCACUCUGAGGGAUUAGCAUCCAAAGAAAACCAAAUUAGUCUUGUACCAAUUCACCCAGGAAAAGCGAGUAGCCAAACCGACCAGAAGGUUCCUGCUGGCAGAACUGAGUGCAGAAGGAGGCUGGCAGGGUGUGUUCUUUGAGUGCUGCCCAGCUCCACCACGCUCUCUCAGAGGCCCACAGGGACACCAUGGGUCCUGCUAUGGGGAUCCAGACUCUCCUGUGCCCACAGGAAACCCCACUUGCUGGCUCCGUGCUCCAUGUGGCAGUGCCAGUUAGGAUGUGUGUAAUACCUGCUUGGAUGUGUCUGUUGCUUUUCUCCAUAUGUCUUGUGGUCAUCUGCGGACUGAUGAGGAACCAUUCUGUUUCCAUUUUGCUGAUGGAAAAGGAGAGGCUUUGAGAGGCUGAGUGAUUUGUCCAGGAUUAUGCAGCAGAUCAAUGGGAGAAAAGGGGAUCAGGCCAUUCCACACAGGAGUGCCUUUAACUGUCCCAUGGGCUUUCUAGGGAAAGGCAUACAGGUCCCCAAAGGGGCCGCCCCCAGCAGUGUUCCUCCAUUAUUUCUAUCAGAUUAUUGCUGCAAACAGUGGAGAAAUGCAAAAUGUAUUAUUCAUUUCUCCUACUCCUAAAAUCAAUAGCUAUCAAAAUACAAAUACAAUUUAAAUCAAAAGGCACUUAUUGAGUGCAGAUCCUACUAAUUAGGUAUGAUUUCCCAACAAUUUCUUAAAUUAUUUAUCCAAGGGAUGGGUGGAAGCACUUUAUAUGUCCCAGAGUGAAUAUUAUAAACCUGUUGUCAUGAUACAGAAAAUGUGAAAUGUAGUGCAAUGCAGUGUGAUUUGUAACCUUGAUGAACUAAUGUAAUAUCAAUAGACAUCAAUCUGUGCAAAAAAAAAAAAAAAAAUCUGUCUCAUCAUAACAUCUAACAAGAUAUGUCAAAAGUCAAUAACCUUGUGAAAUGGACAUGUACCAUGAAGGUUACAGACUUUGCUGCUAAGAAUCAAUUAAAAAUGUAAUACCCACUUGCAAUGGAAAUUACUACACCACACCAAAAAGGAGAUUUACAUCAUGCAUGGACAUUUGUCAUAAAGGCAGCUCCCUUCAGGCUAGCUGUUGGCUCUGUAAGCAAUUCCACUGUAAUAGAUGGCCUUUUUUUUUUUUCUUAUGCUGGUAUUGCUUAGUUUAGCCCCAUAAUCAACACACAAAAAUAUUUAUGCCAUAUCCAGUUAAAUAUAUUUUUUAAACCCAUACAGAAAAGUGCCAAUGGUUUUGGAGAUUUUUGUGUAAAAAUUAGAAAGCAGCUUUCCUGUUAAGUGGAAGAUUUACAAUUGUCAGUCAAUAAUGUAGAUCAAUGUUCUUCAAUUUUUAAUCAUAAGGAUUUUUCUCAAGGAUUUUUCUUCUUUGGAUCUUAAUUUUCAAACUUAUACUCUCAUCCAUACAGCAGAUCUUAAGGUUCCACCACACCAACCAUGCAUCAAGUGAAAUUCUUGGUCCCAUCAUAUAGGUGUGAUACCCACUCACCAAAUGCUUUCCAAUCAGUGACUUAAAAUAAGAGUAUGAAAUAUUAUAUAUGUUUUCUCCUCAGUUUUUGAAAUUAAUUGAUAAAAUAUUCACUUUUUAGGUAUUUUACUUUACCAUUGUCCUCUGAUAAUAAUUUCAGGGCAAGUGUAACUUUGAGGCCAAAACAAAAUAUUUGAACGGGGAGGGAGGCCCUAUGGCUUCAAAGACAGCAGCAUGUGAGAGGCUGAAGUUAAACUAUCAGAGUAAUUCAGAGCUUAAACUUUUAGCUUGGUGCUUUCUUCUGUAGCCUUAAUGGUGAUCAGCUCCCGGGAAAGCCAUCGUGAGCCCGAGCAAAAAGCUGUAGUGGUCCCGAGUGCCUGUGUGCUUCAGCUGCUGCAGGCAGCCCACGGCAGCUCGGCAGCGCUUCAGUGCAAUCGUGCAACCGGGAUUCAAGGCUGAGCCAUAAUUCAGAAUUUCAUGGCAUUUUAAAGCACGAGUCAGAAUUUUAAUGGUAUUUCAACCUUCCUUAUUAGUUGCAAAAUAAGUGUCUUUCAGCCGGUGUUCUGCAAAUUCCUUCCUGGUGGUCUGUAAAAGACAUGGCUUGAAAGUCAGAGCAUUGGAGGUGAAUGCCAGGUGUGUGGAAAUGGAUCUUGAAUUGGUGGGAGGAAUAAGAAAUUCUGAAAAAGCACUGCAAUAAGAUGGCAUGGGAUAAUAAGGGUAGUAGCAAAAAGUUUAAAUAAGUAUGCCACGAGUAAAUUUGAUAUAUAGGAUAAAAUCAACUUCAGUUAUUCAGCUUGUAUUUUUGUUGGUUUUAAUUAAUGAAUGUUUGUCUGGCAGGUAUGAAAACAAAGUUCAAUCUCAGAGUGUUUGAAUUAGAGCUCCUAACUGCAUCAAGUGAAAACAGACAAUACUGCAUUUAAUGUUUUGCAUUUUCUCAUUCUGUUUAAAUGUGAAUGAGCUAUCUGGAAGGAAUAUCCAACAUUGCAGAUACUGUUUGGUUAUAUAUUCUUCUUGUCUUCUUUUCUUCUGUCUAAUGCUUUUCAUACAUGCUUAAAAAGUGUGUGGUUGUAUACAUGAUUGUAUAUUAGUGACUGCAAAGGUUACCUAAAUUGAGACCAUGGACUAAUUUUAUUUUAAAUGCAGGGUAGAAGCACAUCUCUUUCAAACAGAUUUGUGAAAUCCCUUUUGUAAGUUCAAAUCACAUACAGUAAUGACCACUCAACUGAGCUCCUACACACACAAUUUAUUUGCAACAGUACUAACAAAUGCAUCUAUAAAAUGUCACUUGCAUUUUGGUGUUCUGAAGUAGGUUCGUCCUCUCCUUUGCCCUGGAAGAUUCAGCCCUCUGUUAUUGUGUAGAGGAUACUAAAGAAAAGGAUGUGUUUUUCCUCAUGGAGGAUGUGUUAUCUACUCUAUAACGGUACUUGAUAGAUAUUUUGUAUUUUGCCUGGGUCUCCCUUUGAGAGAGGCGUAAGAUUUUUCUGAGUUGUAACUAACACUGUUUUCUAACCAUGAAUUGUUAUAAUUAUAUAAGAUUAUGAAUAUAAGUGAGGUAAUAAAACCAAAGCAAACAGUCUAGACUAUAUCUCUGGAUUGUAUUCAUAGGUUAGAAGUGUGUGGUUUUGCUGAUUUCAGAGGGUAUAGUUUGGAAACGAUCACAUAUGGAAGACACCAGCUGAGGGGCUAUACCUUACCUAUGAGCCUACAUCAAAUAGGUCACGUAGCCUUUUUCCACAGAUGUCCUUUCCAAAGAUAAAGGUGUGUACAUCCUGCAGGUGUUUACAGUGGGCAAACUGAAAGCAAACAAAUAGAAAUGUGUUCAUUCGAUAAAUUUCUACUGUAAAUGAUUUUGCCUUAAACUGUGGAAGCAUCAAAGAAAAGCUUUGCAGAACAGCUUCUCCAUCAUUGAACUGGGGUGGCAGAGGAUUGCAGCGUUGCUGCCUGGCGUCUGCUGAGGUGCAAUCUGCCCUGCACUUGUCCUGUGAAGCAGGAAAGUGCUGUUAUAUUUAAUUUUCAGAGAGAGAGAGAGAGCUAAGACAUGGACAGAAACCACGGGACUUGUCUGCACACCGAAGGGAACUCUGCAGAAGCUGAGGAGUUGAAGAAAGCUGUGUGGAGGCCACGGCUAAUAACCUAAACCAUUGGACCAUUCUCACAAAAUCUGUGUUGCCAAGUCUGUUGCCACUGAAAUCUGAAAUCAAACAUUAGCAGCCAAGAACAUCAUGCUAAUUAAUUGCCUCAGGAGGACACAAUUUCCAAGAUCUAAUGAAAGAUGGAAAUCCAGCUCCCAUAUGUCCCAUUUGAUAGCCCAAGAAAACACGGACACAUGUUCAAAGAAACAGUGACAAAUGUCCAAGUACUCGUCUCUCAGCUGAAUAAAACUAAUCACCAGGCCCAGGGAUAGAAAUGGCUGCUCGUCAGCACCUAGCCUGAAAAGUCAGCCCAGGAUGUUGCUGACAAACCAUUUUUAUUCAGAAUGUUGAAGGCAGCUUCAGAAGGUGACAGCUGAAUACCACAGCCCCUCUGUUCUACCCACAGAACAGCAUUACUCCUGCCUUGCAUGCAGCUGCCUUGUCAUGGUGCUGGUUUAUUAUAAAAAAUAAUAAUAUGGAACAAAAAAAGUUAGCGUGUCACAUUCUUGACAAAAUACUGGGGAGAAGACAGAGGUAUCAGUGUAGUCACAGAUACAUGCCAGGGCUGCCUUGCAGUGCUAUAAGCUUGUCCUUGCUUGAACUUGACAUUGCUGUAGCUGGGAUGUUUGUGCCAGGAUGGCAGUGGUGCUUAGCCCCAGGGAAGCAGGGAGGGCUGGCCAGCCUCAGCCCUCCCGGGAGAGGCAGGCCUGCCUGGCUGUGCAAGCAGAGCCCCAUUGUGAAUGGGAACGCCCUAUCUCUGUGUGGCUCUGAGCUAUAUGGAAUUGUUCAGCCAGCUUAAAGACAUCAUGUUUCUUUUAAAUAUUUCUCGUUUGAAGGAUCCGUACCUGCAUGAGGAGGUCUGUACUAUGUAAAGACCACAUGCUAUUGUGGCUGCACUCACUGUCUGCCCCAUUUCAGGAGUCAUCCCUGUGCACGGGAAGUUCCUGCUCCCACUCCUGCUUUGCUGGUGUGAGGAGUUUCACACAAUUCCCAGGUUUGUUUGGAUAGAGUUGAAUGAUCAGCUUGUUGUAUCAGACCUGACCAUGAGGCAUGAACAUGUUUUGCUUGCCACGACACCAUCCCCAGCCUGACUGCCAUGCUCAGGUAGGGAAUGUCUUGGUCCCAGUGAGCAGGCUGGGAAGCCCAGUGCAGACAGGGAAGGAACACAGCUAUAGAGCAGGGCUGUGACAGGCCUUGGUGUCUAAUCCAGGAUUUCCGAGUGACAACUCAUCCACGCAAACUUCAUUAGUAUUUGCUAAGUGGUCAAUUCUUGGAAGCAUGCAAAAAAUUUUCACUUUCCUCUUUUUACAUAUGAUUCAUAUGAAACUUCUAAUCUAAAAAGAGUAUAUUGACUCCCUGUUUAGUAAAAAUGGGCAUGAGGAAAGCAGGUGCAAAUUGCACAGCAAAUUUUCACUCUUAAGUAUUGAAGAAAAUAUAUUUUAUUCUGUCUAUCCUGAGGAGAUUAAAGAAAAAAAAUAGGAGGGUCGAGGUAAGUAAUUGUAGAACACUAUCAAUUGUGUAUUUCCUCAAGAUCACUCCAGUUGUGCAGAAUAAUGGCAUUUCUGAACUUCUGUAACUUCCACCACACAGAGGCACAGCAUUUUGACAGGACUCAGUAAAUAAUUUAAAAUCAUAAGGGCCAUUAUGCAGAUUGUGUGAUAAAGUUAGAGGUAGGGUAUUUUUCUGCAAUUGGUCUUCAAUUUCACUCUAGAUUUUAGGUGACAUAAAGCUCAAAAGGAGCUCCUAGUGCUACUCUCCCAGAGAUGAGAUCAACACUUAUGACGACAUGUUUUGAUGACACAGCUCAGAAAAUUGAAGAGAUUAUUAUUAUGGAAGGACCAGGGUGAUAAGUACUGUGUUAUAUAUGAAUAACUGUCAGUCAGACAAGCCAAGAAAGGUCAUAAUCCAUUAUAUUAUGUCAUAAAUGUUAUAAUAAACUGACAUCAGGAUGGUAAACUGGGAUUCCUGCACUUUUUAAAGUGCUGCUGUUCUUAAAUGACACUGUCCUGGAAAGACAUGUUGAUACUAAUUUUUCUCUCAAAAUAAAAGACUUUAAUGAUUCUCAGCAAAA